GUAUAGCUCAGUUGGUAGAACAUGAGACUGUUAAUCUCAGAGUUGUAGGCUUGAGCCCCACAUUAGGCA